rnacentral:rRNA from 1 species
GACGAACGCUGGCGGCGUGCUUAACACAUGCAAGUCGAACGGAAAGGCCCGGCUUUUGUGGGGUGCUCGAGUGGCGAACGGGUGAGUAACACGUGAGUAACCCCCCCCUUACUUUGGGAUAACUUCAGGAAAAUGCGGCUAAUAUCGGAUAGGAGCUCCUGCUGCAUGGUGGGGGUUGGAAAGUUUCGGCGGUUGGGGAUGGAAUCGCGGCUUAUCCGCUUGUUGGUGGGGUAGUGGCUUACCAAGGCUUCGACGGGUAGCCGGCCUGAGAGGGUGACCGGCCACAUUGGGACUGAGAUACGGCCCAGACUCCUACGGGAGGCAGCAGGGGGGAAUAUUGCACAAUGGGCGGAGGCCUGAUGCAGCAACGCCGCGUGCGGGAUGACGGCCUUCGGGUUGUAAACCGCUUUCGCCUGUGACGAAGCGUGAGUGACGGUAAUGGGUAAAGAAGCACCGGCUAACUACGUG